rnacentral:rRNA from 1 species
UACGUAGGGUGCAAGCGUUGUCCGGAAUUAUUGGGCGUAAAGAGCUUGUAGGCGGUUUGUCGCGUCUGCUGUGAAAUUUCGGGGCUCAACCCCGAACUUGCAGUGGGUACGGGCAGACUAGAGUGUGGUAGGGGAGACUGGAAUUCCUGGUGUAGCGGUGAAAUGCGCAGAUAUCGGGAAGAACACCCGUGGCGAAGGCGGCUCUCUGGGACGGUACUGACGCUGAGGUGCGAAAGCGUGGGGAGCAAACAGG